CAACGGAAUCCCAAAAGCAGCUGU
rnacentral:ncRNA from 8 species